ensembl:lncRNA
AUGGCUUUUCCAUUUUGUUGACAAGUUUAGGUGAGUAAGGGCAAAACGCACAAGAUAUAGUACUUUUAAUGCCAUGUAGAUGGCAAUAUUGCUUCUUUUGUAGCAGAAAUAAACUGCUGCAGAAAAAGUUAGGUGUCAUGCUAAAUGUAAUUGCAUGACUCACACAUGCAUUGGAAUUAAAGUGUACAGAUACUUAUUCAAAAAUGUAUUGAAGUAGAGAAUAAAAGUUGCUAAUACCGCAGUAAAACUACAAAGUAGCCAAAAAGAAACAGAGUACAGUAACUAAUUACAUUUACUCAAAUACGUUGCACUACUGCUGAUACCACCACAAUACUUUGUAAGUAAAAAAAUAUUUACAUAGCACCUUAUUAAACAAUUACCUGUGAGAUAAAUAUAUGAUGUGAAUAUGGUUAAUUGGUUGAACCUGCUAACAUAUUCUGCAUGGUAUGGACCUCUGAAGAAAUUCUUGUACAACCCGUUUGGUCAGUAUGGGGUGCAUUUCCCAAAAACAUAGGUACUGUAGCCAACUAUGGUCACACAAGUUUCGUUGUCACCAACAGGGGAGACCUGCAGGAUUUCAGCUGACAGCUGAUUUGAUUACUUACAGACAUGUAAAAAAAAAUCUUUUAACCCUGAAAACAGCAAAAAGCAAUGGAAUGGUCAAAGACAUCCAUCGCAUGUUCACACAGGAAAACGACUGAAAAAUAGCACGGGUAGACACAAAAACCAGUUCGGUGUGAAUGGCCGCUUUUUAGGCAAGUAUGGGUGUCAUGUCAUAAAAUAUUUUAAUAUAACUGAAUUUAUGAGCCUGUCCUCCAACAAAAAACGACCAUAUAGGUCGUUUGUGCAAGCACCUUAUUACGACCUAUUUUUACGUUUUAACGUUAAGCGGCCUCUAGCGGGCGUAAAAAUAAUGACAGUAUCGCGUUGCGUCUGUCGUCAUGAAAUGACGUAUAAAAGUCAUUACCAAUCAAAACGCACGUUUAUUUAAAUGCAAUGUGUGGACUUUUUACACCGAUCUCACAGUAAUUCGUACAUAUUUUACUAGGAGGCUUAUUCGUUCGAAUGACCACACCUAACCCCACCCCCUAAACCUAACCCUCACAGAAAUCAUGCUAAAUUAUGAUUUUUUGAGCAUAUACAUUUUACGUGCACGUCCAUUCUCGGGGAUCGAAACCAUGAUUGCAUGAUUGCAUAUCAAGGUAUAACGCAAUAAUCUACCAACUGAGCUACACGAAACGCAAAUCACGGUGCAAAUAAAAGAGUACAAAACAUUAAUAUGAACACGACCUUUUGCCGAUAGGGGCGCAAUUGUAGUAUAUGCUCUGAUGGGUCGUAUUUCAGGGAUUUGGACAAACGACCUAUACGAGCGUAUUAGUUGGAGGACAGGUUGGCAAAAACGCAUAAAAAGAAAUAUGAUGCGAUAUGAGCAGAUCUAAAUGUAAUGCCGCAAACAACACUUUUCAUUUAAUUUUCACUUUAUUUGCCACAGCCAUAAUAGAUUUAGUUUAACUGAGCAGGGGCGUUUUUGUCCAGUUUAGUGCCCCCGUUAAUUCCAUACCAGUGGCCAGGGGAAGGCAAUAUGAUUCAGUGAAACAGCGGUCCAAAUCCAUUCGGCCAGUUCAUCGAAAAGGGAGAACUAACUCAAAAGAAUGAUUAAAUCACGAAUGAUUGGCAUCGAAUUGUUGGUAAUAACUGCUAAAAUAUUUGUAGGAAAAAUGUUUCUCGGGUCAAAGCGCUCAUAGUAGACCUACGCACUGUCCAGCUGCAGGCACUACUGGUCACCAACAUAGUUCAAUGGGUUCUGCGUUUCCAAUGAACACUUGAAAACAGCAUCACAAAGUUAUAUAGUUGGAACUACAGCUCUUGACCAGUGGUUUGAAGCAUAGAUUCUAGUUAGUAUGACAUGUGAACUUAACAGAUCAAGUGUAUUUGGCAAAAUAAGCAAGCUAGCAAAUUAUGCAAUUGAUAUCAUUCAUUCUGUCUUCAUUUACUCAACAUCAUGUCCUUCCAAACUUGUAUUACUUCUUUAUUCUGAAGAACUUUUUAAUUGGCAAGAAAGGAAAAAAUGGAAUUCAUUCAACACUACUUUGAGGAAGGACAUUCACAUGCCGUGAUUAUGGACAUGCUGUUCAUGUACCAUGGCAUAAAUAUUCACCUGUGCUCUCUAAAUACACACCUCAAGGAUGCAGGUAUGUUUAGAAGAAAAACUAUUCACCAUUAAAUGAUAUAAGGAAUGCAAUAAGAGCAGAGCUGCGUGGACCAGGACUGUUGUUCGGCUACUGGACAAUGUGUUAAGUACUUGUGCAGAAACACAGAUUGUGUGUUAAAUGUUAUGAUGUUAUGCGAUUGCUGCAAGAACUUAACCCACAAGAACAGAACAGAGGACACUUCGUAGGUUUGUUUGAUGCACGUAUCACUCCAUGGGACCAAACUAUCUGUGGCAUGUUGAUGGUUAUGAUAUACUAAAGCCAUUUGGUUUUGGCAUAUCAGGAUGCAUUGCAAGUUUUUCAAAACAUAUCCUCUGGCUUACUUAUGGGUCUACUUACAAUGUCCCUGCUGUUAUUACACACAACUUCAUUACUUGUGUUUAACCCCUUGGUUUCGUACCUAUGAGAAUACAAACAGACUGUGGAAUGGAAAAUGGUACAUUUCCAGCAAUGCAGUGCACUCUCCGUCAUCAUCCUUCAGACUACUAAGCUGGCUUGAAUCAAGAAGUCACAUGUAUAAUACAACAAUGAGCAAUCAACACACUGAAUCUUGAUAGUCCGGUUUCAGAAAAGCAAGGGCUCUGUUUUGGAUAGAACUCGUAAGGGACCUGAAGAAUGAUGGACACUUCAAUGGCAGUAACAAACACCAAUGCCUUUUUCAGUUCUGCUUCCAAAAUGUUCUACAGGCGGAUUUGGAUGAUUGUGUUGAGCUCUGCAAUGUGCCCUGGGGGUGUACCAAAUGAACUGUGUCAUCUACCACACAGGUAUGGAUCAAGAAACUGUGGCAUUGCAGUUGAAGAAGAUGAGUUAAGUGCUUUUCCCGAGACAAGGCUGACAAAGCAGUUAUGUAGUGACAAAAACAUCCAGGAAUAUCUAGAAUUUGCAAUGGAACACAAUCAGUUACGGUGGCCAGAGAAUUGGGAGGAAGCAUUACAACUCUACUUCACAUUGAAGGAAAUAGCAGGCCUCUGAGCACGAGUAUGUAAACAAAAGACAGUAGAAACUACAGAGUACAACCUUGGAAGAACUUAAAUAAUAAACUGUGACAUUGCAAUAAUAAUGUACUGAGAAUACGGAGGAUGUACAGUUGACUUAAAUACAUCCAAAACCUGGAGAAUUUUGGAUUCCAAAAUCCAUGCGAGUCUGAAAAAGACUGAAUGUGUCUAAGAUUGGUAACUUGAGUGUGUUUGUGAAUGUAUUGAUUGUGAAUGUGAAUGUUGUUCUAAACCAUACAGGUUUAGAACAACUUGAGGCUGAAUAAAUUGCAUUUUUGUGUGAACUAUUGCUUUAAAGAUGUCUGAACUUCAUCUUAAACAGAACAUGCGUUUGAUAGACUACAAAUAACAAACCUUCACAAUCGAGAAGGUAGUCUGACCAAAUGAAAACGUACUGGAUUCCUUUAGCCUCUGGUUACUACCUACUGGGCUGAAUUCUGCUUUGAAGAUUUUUUUUUUCAAAUCAGUCACUGUCAGCUUCUUCUCAGUGUGGCAGAGGAGACAAAACACUGGGAUGCUGCUCAAGUGCUGUCAGAAAUUCCAGAGUGGCAAGUCCAUCCUUAAAUCUAUUAAAAGGAGUUUAAGUUGUUUUGUUUACAGAAAUUAAAUGUAAUAUUCAUGCAAUGUAAAUUAUUUAGUGAAAUAAAGUAACAUUCUAAAAGGGCAAAUAAUUUU